UGGAUAACAGGUAGCUACCACUGGUGUGGGAA
rnacentral:piRNA from 1 species